rnacentral:rRNA from 1 species
UACGGAAGGCAGCAGUGGGGAAUAUUGCACAAUGGGCGCAAGCCUGAUGCAGCCAUGCCGCGUGUAUGAAGAAGGCCUUCGGGUUAUAAAGUACUUUCAGUCGUGAGGAAGGUGUUAAGGUUAAUAACCUUAGCAAUUGACGUUAGCGACAGAAGAAGCACCGGCUAACUCCGUGCCAGCAGCCGCGGUAAUACGGAGGGUGCGAGCGUUAAUCGGAAUUACUGGGCGUAAAGGGCACGCAGGCGGUUAAUUAAGUUGGAUGUGAAAUCCCCGGGCUUAACCUGGGAAUGGCAUUCAAGCUGGUUAGCUAGAGUCUUGUAGAGGGGGUAGAAUUCCAUGUGUAGCGGUGAAAUGCGUAGAGAUGUGGAGGAAUACCGGUGGCGAAGGCGGCCCCUGGACAAAGGACUGACGCUCAUGUGCGAAAGCGUGGGGAGCGAAAC